UUGAAUGGAACUGGAGGCCAUUAUUCUAAGUGAAGUAACUCGGGAAUUGAAAACCAGAUAUCCUAUGUUCUCACUUAUAAGUUGGACCUAAGCUAUGGAUAAGCAAAGGCAUACCGAGUGAUAUAAUGGAUAUUGGACACUCAGAGAGGGGAGAGAAGAAGGAGGUUGCCUUCAUUGGAAGAGCUGAUGGCUAGCUAACUCUAUG
rnacentral:lncRNA from 1 species